rnacentral:sRNA from 1 species
UACUAUUUGAAAUUCUACAGAUGGAGACUCUCAAAGGGUACUUUUCCCUUUAACUUUCUCUCUUUGUUUCUAAUUUUGUUUUUUAGUAGUUUUAAUUGUUCAGGGUUUGACUCAAACCGUUUGAGAGCUUGGUGUUUACUUGCAACCACAUUCUUGGAUUCUCUAACACAAGGUUGUAAGGCUGAAUAUCGUGUGAAUCAGAUAAGGAAUAACUAUUUUAACUUAUCUUGAAUCAAUAUACAAUUAUAUUAAUCGAAAUAAGCUAGAGAAAGGUUUAUUUGUCUGUGGUAUAAGCAGUGGCAUAAGUUGCUGGAAGAACUUGCACGAUAGAGUAAAACAAGAAUAUCAACUAGCCACGAACUCCUACUUCUUAAAGCACCGCAAUCCGUAGCUGUGAAAAAAUGUGAGAGAUCAAGUUCUAGAGAAAAACCAAAAGCUAAGCAAGAUUCAGAUUUGUGGAAGUAAAGCUUUUGCAUGAUAAUUCAAUAAAAUCAUAUUCAGAUCUAUCGCAAUGGAGCAUUAAAAUGGUCGUGCGUCAUAUUUGCCCAUUCGAGUCCAAAGUCAAGAUCUAUUUAGAGCAAUCAAAAUACACAUUUUGAAAAGAAGUCUUCUUUCAUCCUUGCACGGUGAAGAACAAAGACUCUGCUUCCCUUUCCAGGAUUCUUAUUCGUUUGGUUGUUGAAAGAUACCAAGAACUCUCAUCAAAACUAGAGUACAAUUUUCCAUUGAAGUAGCAAGAGUAGAUCUAUGGAGGUGCUUUCCAGGAUUUUGAAGUAACGUGAAGCUGAAUAUUGAAAAUAUGCAAAGACAAAAAGGCUCGAGCGGGAAUCAGGGAGGUUCACUUCCAUUGACUUACAUCGACAGCAGAAGGCAGUAGUCAAGGUGCUCUCCUGAUUAGGUGGUGCUAGAGAAAACGAAGGAAAGCCUAGGUGCAUGGUGCAACAUAUGGUAAUUUGUUGGAUUGUUGCCCCCAAGACAUGAAAGUACUGAAACCAUUGGAAGGGCUUUGACUCUCGGUGUUAACAUCAAGAUGAUCACUGGUGAAUUUGCUCACCCAUUGAUCGUGUUGUAAUAAUAAUACACCUUUGCCAUUUUCCACUAACAUUCUAUUGGACGACGUAGGCCAGAUAACCAGUUGUAAACUUGGAAUGGGAAUAAACAUGUAUCCAUCUUCGGCUUUUCUUGGUACGCACAAGUGGUUGUAAGUUUUGUCACGUAAGAGACAUGGAGAACAUACCUGGCAGAGAAUCAAGUGAAUUCCUCCAAAGAACUGAUCAGAUUAGAAAGAGCUAGUGUCUUGCGGCUGAAUAGAAUGGGAGAUAUGUAAAGGAAGGAACAAAUACUUUUGACAAACUAUUUAGGCCAUCGUCAAAGAUUUUGCAACAUACACAUCCAUUAAUUAGUAUUCAGUAGACAGUGGAAAGAAGUGUCUAAAGGAAACUUGAACCCAGAUGUCUGCAUAGAGGUAAAUCCACAUAAGAUCUCACACCCUCGGCCAAGUUCACAUCACACAUUAGAAUUAUAGAACCUUGACGUGUCUUUAUUCGGUGGAGCAUGGAAUUCUUCUCAUUGUAGAUCGCUGCUUGACAUUGUUUGACAAUCCACUGGUCGACUCUCUUCACACAACUUACAAUGAGCUCAAGCUUAAAAAUGGGUGUGUUCGGCAUUCUAAAUCAAUGUCACAAAGGAGACAAGCGGUAAGAACCACCAAACCCCAUUGACGAAGAUGGUCUCCUGGAAGAUUUGGCACGUAAGAGACGUAGAGAACAUACUUGUUGGAGCAUCAAAUGAUUUCCUCCAAAGAAAUUGAUUAGAUUGGGAAGACUAGUGUCUCGCGGCUGAAUAGGUAAGCAUGCUUGGAGCAUAACGGCUAGCGGCAAUGUCCAACUGCCAUUAGGAACAACCUGAAAAUCUACAUCGACCUCUUUGAUAGCGUGAUAUAGUCAUGUGUGCAUGCAUACAUUCAUAUGUGCAUACAUUCAUACAUCCAUACAUUCAUGCAUACAUUCAUACAUUCAUACAUUCAUACAUUCAUACAUCCAUACAUGCAUGCAUACAUUCAUACAUGCAUACAUUCAUAC